UUGAACGCUGGCGGCAGGCCUAACACAUGCAAGUCGAGCGGUAGCACAGAGAGCUUGCUCUCGGGUGACGAGCGGCGGACGGGUGAGUAAUGUCUGGGAAACUGCCUGAUGGAGGGGGAUAACUACUGGAAACGGUAGCUAAUACCGCAUAAUGUCGCAAGACCAAAGUGGGGGACCUUCGGGCCUCAUGCCAUCAGAUGUGCCCAGAUGGGAUUAGCUAGUAGGUGGGGUAACGGCUCACCUAGGCGACGAUCCCUAGCUGGUCUGAGAGGAUGACCAGCCACACUGGAACUGAGACACGGUCCAGACUCCUACGGGAGGCAGCAGUGGGGAAUAUUGCACAAUGGGCGCAAGCCUGAUGCAGCCAUGCCGCGUGUGUGAAGAAGGCCUUCGGGUUGUAAAGCACUUUCAGCGGGGAGGAAGGCGAUAAGGUUAAUAACCUUGUCGAUUGACGUUACCCGCAGAAGAAGCACCGGCUAACUCCGUGCCAGCAGCCGCGGUAAUACGGAGGGUGCAAGCGUUAAUCGGAAUUACUGGGCGUAAAGCGCACGCAGGCGGUCUGUCAAGUCGGAUGUGAAAUCCCCGGGCUCAACCUGGGAACUGCAUUCGAAACUGGCAGGCUAGAGUCUUGUAGAGGGGGGUAGAAUUCCAGGUGUAGCGGUGAAAUGCGUAGAUAUUAGGAGGAACACCAGUGGCGAAGGCGGCCUGCUGGACUGUUACUGACACUGAGGCACGAAAGCGUGGGGAGCAAACAGGAUUAGAUACCCUGGUAGUCCACGCCGUAAACGAUGUCGAUUUGGAGGUUGUGCCCUUGAGGCGUGGCUUCCGGAGCUAACGCGUUAAAUCGACCGCCUGGGGAGUACGGCCGCAAGGUUAAAACUCAAAUGAAUUGACGGGGGCCCGCACAAGCGGUGGAGCAUGUGGUUUAAUUCGAUGCAACGCGAAGAACCUUACCUGGUCUUGACAUCCACAGAACUUUCCAGAGAUGGAUUGGUGCCUUCGGGAACUGUGAGACAGGUGCUGCAUGGCUGUCGUCAGCUCGUGUUGUGAAAUGUUGGGUUAAGUCCCGCAACGAGCGCAACCCUUAUCCUUUGUUGCCAGCGGUUAGGCCGGGAACUCAAAGGAGACUGCCAGUGAUAAACUGGAGGAAGGUGGGGAUGACGUCAAGUCAUCAUGGCCCUUACGACCAGGGCUACACACGUGCUACAAUGGCAUAUACAAAGAGAAGCGACCUCGCGAGAGCAAGCGGACCUCAUAAAGUAUGUCGUAGUCCGGAUUGGAGUCUGCAACUCGACUCCAUGAAGUCGGAAUCGCUAGUAAUCGUAGAUCAGAAUGCUACGGUGAAUACGUUCCCGGGCCUUGUACACACCGCCCGUCACACCAUGGGAGUGGGUUGCAAAAGAAGUAGGUAGCUUAACCUUCGGGAGGGCGCUUACCACUUUGUGAUUCAUGACUGGGGUG
rnacentral:rRNA from 1 species